CCUACGGGAGGCUGCAGUGGGGAAUAUUGGACAAUGGGGGGAACCCUGAUCCAGCCAUGCCGCGUGUGUGAAGAAGGCCCUCGGGUUGUAAAGCACUUUCAGUGAGGAAGAACGCCUGGUGGUUAAUACCCAUCAGGAAAGACAUCACUCACAGAAGAAGCACCGGCUAACUCCGUGCCAGCAGCCGCGGUAAUACGGAGGGUGCGAGCGUUAAUCGGAAUUACUGGGCGUAAAGCGCGCGUAGGUGGCUUGAUAAGCCGGUUGUGAAAACCCCGGGCUCAACCUGGGAACGGCAUCCGGAACUGUCAAGCUAGAGUGCAGGAGAGGAAGGUAGAAUUCCCGGUGUAGCGGUGAAAUGCGUAGAGAUCGGGAGGAAUACCAGUGGCGAAGGCGGCCUUCUGGACUGACACUGACACUGAGGUGCGAAAGCGUGGGUAGCAAACAGGAUUAGAUACCCGUGUAGUC
rnacentral:rRNA from 1 species